GACGAACGCUGGCGGCGUGCUUAACACAUGCAAGUCGAACGGAAAGGCCCUGCUUUUGUGGGGUGCUCGAGUGGCGAACGGGUGAGUAACGCGUGAGUAACCUGCCCUUGACUUUGGGAUAACUUCAGGAAACUGGGGCUAAUACCGGAUAGGAGCUCCUGCUGCAUGGUGGGGGUUGGAAAGUUUCGGCGGUUGGGGAUGGACUCGCGGCUUAUCAGCUUGUUGGUGGGGUAGUGGCUUACCAAGGCUUUGACGGGUAGCCGGCCUGAGAGGGUGACCGGCCACAUUGGGACUGAGAUACGGCCCAGACUCCUACGGGAGGCAGCAGUGGGGAAUAUUGCACAAUGGGCGGAAGCCUGAUGCAGCAACGCCGCGUGCGGGAUGACGGCCUUCGGGUUGGAAACCGCUUUCGCCUGUGACGAAGCGUGAGUGACGGUAAUGGGUAAAGAAGCACCGGCUAACUACGU
rnacentral:rRNA from 1 species